GAUGAACGCUGGCGGCGUGCCUAAUACAUGCAAGUCGAGCGAACAGAUGAGGAGCUUGCUCCUCUGACGUUAGCGGCGGACGGGUGAGUAACACGUGGAUAACCUACCUAUAAGACUGGGAUAACUUCGGGAAACCGGAGCUAAUACCGGAUAAUAUAUUGAACCGCAUGGUUCAAUAGUGAAAGACGGUUUUGCUGUCACUUCUCGAUGGAUCCGCGCCGCAUUAGCUAGUUGGUAAGGUAACGGCUUACCAAGGCAACGAUGCGUAGCCGACCUGAGAGAGUGAUCGGCCACACGGGAACUGAGACACGGUCCAGACUCCUACGGGAGGCAGCAGUAGGGAAUCUUCCGCAAUGGGCGAAAGCCUGACGGAGCAACGCCGCGUGAGUGAUGAAGGUCUUCGGAUCGUAAAACUCUGUUAUUAGGGAAGAACAAAUGUGUAAGUAACUAUGCACGUCUUGACGGUACCUAAUCAGAAAGCCACGGCUAACUACGUG
rnacentral:rRNA from 1 species